GAUGAACGCUGGCGGCGUGCCUAAUACAUGCAAGUCGAGCGAACAGACGAGGAGCUUGCUCCUCUGACGUUAGCGGCGGACGGGUGAGUAACACGUGGAUAACCUACCUAUAAGACUGGGAUAACUUCGGGAAACCGGAGCUAAUACCGGAUAAUAUAUUGAACCGCAGGGUUCAAUAGUGAAAGACGGUUUUGCUGUCACUUCUAGAUGGAUCCGCGCCGCAUUAGCUAGUUGGUAAGGUAACGGCUUACCAAGGCGACGAUGCGUAGCCGACCUGAGAGGGGGAUCGGCCACACUGGAACUGAGACACGGUCCAGACUCCUACGGGAGGCAGCAGUAGGGAAUCUUCCGCAAUGGGCGAAAGCCUGACGGAGCAACGCCGCGUGAGUGAUGAAGGUCUUCGGAUCGUAAAACUCUGUUAUUAGGGAAGAACAAAUGUGUAAGUAACUAUGCACGUCUUGACGGUACCUAAUCAGAAAGCCACGGCUAACUACGUG
rnacentral:rRNA from 1 species